rnacentral:rRNA from 1 species
CGCGUAGGUGGCCUGUUAAGUCGAACGUGAAAUCCCUGGGCUCAACCCGGGAACUGCGUCCGAGACUGGCAGGCUCGAAUCCGGGAGAGGGAUGUGGAAUUCCAGGUGUAGCGGUGAAAUGCGUAGAUAUCUGGAGGAACACCGGUGGCGAAGGCGGCAUCCUGGACCGGUAUCGACGCUGAGGCGCGAAGCCAGGGGAUAAACG